AAUCCUACGGGAGGCAGCAGUGGGGAAUAUUGGGCAAUGGAGGAAACUCUGACCCAGCAAUGCCGCGUGAAUGAAGAAGGUCUUCGGAUUGUAAAGUUCUUUAGUCAGGGAAGAAGUCAAUGACGGUACCUGAGUAAGAAGCACCGGCUAAAUACGUGCCAGCAGCCGCGGUAAUACGUAUGGUGCAAGCGUUAUCCGGAUUUACUGGGUGUAAAGGGAGCGCAGGCGGCACGGCAAGCCUGAUGUGAAAGCCCGCGGCCCAACCGCGGGACUGCAUUGGGAACUACCGGGCUGGAGUGCCGGAG
rnacentral:rRNA from 1 species